rnacentral:rRNA from 1 species
UACGUAGGGUGCGAGCGUUGUCCGGAAUUAUUGGGCGUAAAGAGCUUGUAGGCGGUUUGUCGCGUCUGCCGUGAAAAUUCGAGGCUCAACCUCGAACUUGCAGUGGGUACGGGCAGACUAGAGUGCGGUAGGGGAGACUGGAAUUCCUGGUGUAGCGGUGAAAUGCGCAGAUAUCAGGAGGAACACCGGUGGCGAAGGCGGUUCUCUGGGCAUUACCUGACGCUGAGGAGCGAAAGUGUGGGGAGCGAACAGG